rnacentral:rRNA from 1 species
UAGAUACCCUGGUAGUCCACGCAGUAAACGAUGAAUGUUAGUCGUCGGGAUGCAAGUCAUUUCGGUGAUGCAGUUAACACAUUAAACAUUCCGCCUGGGGAGUACGGUCGCAAGAUUAAAACUCAAAGGAAUAGACGGGGACCCGCACAAGUGGUGGAGCAUGUGGUUUAAUUCGAAGAUACGCGAAGAACCUUACCUAGCCUUGACAUUGAUAGAAUCUUCCAGAGAUGGAGGAGUGCCUUUCGGGGAACUUGAAAACAGGUGCUGCACGGCUGUCGUCAGCUCGUGUCGUGAGAUGUUGGGUUAAGUCCCGCAACGAGCGCAACCCUCGUCAUUAGUUACUAACAGUUCGGCUGAGGACUCUAAUGAGACUGCCUUCGUAAGGAGGAGGAAGGUGAGGACGACGUCAAGUCAUCAUGGCCCUUACGGCUAGGGCGACACACGUGCUACAAUGGUUAGGACAAUGAGAAGCGAUACCGCGAGGUGGAGCAAAUCUAUAAACCUAAUCUCAGUUCGGAUUGUAGUCUGCAACUCGACUACAUGAAGCUGGAAUCACUAGUGAUCGUAGAUCAGCCAUGCUACGGUGAAUACGUUCCCGGGUCUUGUACUCACCGCCCGUCACACCAUGGGAGUUGAUUUCACCCGAAGCGGGGAAGCUAAACUGGCUACCCUCCACGGUGGAAUUAGCGACUGGGGUGAAGUCGUAACAAGGUA